GCUUGUGGCUCAGUGGUAGAGCGUUCACCUAGCAUGCAUGAAGCACUGGGUUCGAUCCUCAGCACAACA
rnacentral:tRNA from 1 species